rnacentral:rRNA from 1 species
GACGAACGCUGGCGGCGUGCCUAAUACAUGCAAGUAGAACGCACAGUUUAUACCGUAGCUUGCUACACCAUAGACUGUGAGUUGCGAACGGGUGAGUAACGCGUAGGUAACCUGCCUGGUAGCGGGGGGUAACUAUUGGAAACGAUAGCUAAUACCGCAUAAUAUUGAUUAUUGCAUGAUAAUUGAUUGAAAGAUGCUAUUGCAUCACUACCAGAUGGACCUGCGUUGUAUUAGCUAGUAGGUGAGGUAACGGCUCACCUAGGCGACGAUACAUAGCCGACCUGAGAGGGUGCUCGGCCACACUGGGACUGAGACACGGCCCAGACUCCUACGGGAGGCAGCAGUAGGGAAUCUUCGGCAAUGGACGAAAGUCUGACCGAGCAACGCCGCGUGAGUGAAGAAGGUUUUCGGAUCGUAAAGCUCUGUUGUAAGAGAAGAACGGGUGUGAGAGUGGAAAGUUCACACUGUGACGGUAUCUUACCAGAAAGGGACGGCUAACUACAUG